rnacentral:rRNA from 1 species
CGUCGGGGAUGACAGUACCCUACUAGAAAGGGGCCGCUAACUGCGUGCCANAAGCGUCGGUAAUACGUGGGCCCCAAACGUUAUCCGGUUUUACUGGGCGUAAAGGGUCGUGUAGGCGGUUAGCAAGUUUUUGCUUAAAGGCUACGGCUUAACCGUAGACAUGGCAAAAAUACUGCUAAGCUAGAAUAUCCUUGGGGGAGAUGGGAACUUGCGGUGGAGUAGUGAAAUGCGUUGAUACCGCAAGGAACACCAGUGGCGAAGGCGCAUCUCUCUAAAGAUAUUGACGCUGAGACACGAAAGCUAGGGGAGCGAAGCAG